rnacentral:rRNA from 1 species
GAUGAACGCUGGCGGCGUGCCUAAUACAUGCAAGUCGAGCGAACGGACUAGAAGCUUGCUUCUCUGAUGUUAGCGGCGGACGGGUGAGUAACACGUGGAUAACCUACCUAUAAGACUGGGAUAACUUCGGGAAACCGUAGCUAAUACCGGAUAAUAUUUUGAACCGCAUGGUUCAAAAGUGAAAGACGGUCUUGCUGUCACUUAUAGAUGGAUCCGCGCUGCAUUAGCUAGUUGGUAAGGUAACGGCUUACCAAGGCAACGAUGCAUAGCCGACCUGAGAGGGUGAUCGGCCACACUGGAACUGAGACACGGUCCAGACUCCUACGGGAGGCAGCAGUAGGGAAUCUUCCGCAAUGGGCGAAAGCCUGACGGAGCAACGCCGCGUGAGUGAUGAAGGUCUUCGGAUCGUAAAACUCUGUUAUUAGGGAAGAACAUAUGUGUAAGUAACUGUGCACACCUUGACGGUACCUAAUCAGAAAGCCACGGCUAACUACGUG